CCACACCUUUCCUUCACAGAGCUGAGCUUUCUGACUGGGCUGCAAUCUGUAAUUUAUAAUGCUUGAAUAUGAAGACUAACUCCUGAAUCUGCUGGGGUCAGAGCACCCCAAGUCUGCAGCUCCACCUACCAGUCUGCAGUUCUCGCGAGAAGGAACUCCCAAACAUGGCUACCGCCAGUGUCUGUGUUUCUGGAAGGAGCUGCAGGCGACCCCACACCACCUCUCCAGGAGCCUCUCCAAGACCCACAGGUUGUGGACAGUCACUGGAGAGCUGAAAAGGAUGGACAAGGACCUUCAAGGACUGUACAGAACAGGAAAAUCUGCUCAAUAUUAUGGCAGCCCGGAUGGGAGAGGAGUUUGGCGGAGAAUGGAUACAUGUAUAUGUAUGGCUGAGACCCUUGGAUGUCUGCCUGAAAAUAUCAUGACAUUGUUAAUCGGCUAUACUCCAAUAUAAAAUAAAAGUUAAAAAAAAAAAGAUGGCGGACUGACAAGGUGA